GCUGGAGAGAAUGAGCUUGGAGCCGCAGGGCUUAAUCCCGCGCGGCUCAGAGAUGGGUUUCUGGACUCGCGAAGCAGCUGCAACAAGGCAUCACUCACUGUAUAAGUAUUUCCAUUUCUGAGAGCAAAAGGAAGAACUUAAGCGGGCGGCACUUGGAGUGUAAAUUGCUUUGUAGUAUUUAAAGGCAGAAUGGAUCCUGGGCAGCCGAGCUGGCUGGAGUGCAAUGGUGUGAUCUUGGCUCACUGCAACCUCCACCUCCCAUGUUCAAGGGAUUCUCCUGCCUCAGACUCCCGAGUAGCUGGGACUGCAGGCGCUUGCCCCCACACCUGGCAACAAACCGGCAGGACUUCCUGUGAAAUCAUGACCACCAUGUGCUCUUUCAGCCUCUAUCAGUUCCUACCUCUAAGCACCUGAGAGCCAAAGCAAACCACAGGAAACCACAGGUACUAACUCUUUUAGACCUGAUGAAGUGUCUCCCAAAUACAGUCUGGCAUGACUCAAACUAAACGUCAGCUUUUCCCGGCUCUCAAGCCUGCUGGUCCCUGAACUAAAACUCACAUUAUCAACUCUACUGGUUCUUAGGCCUUUGGAGUCAGACUGGAACUACAGCAUUGACUCUUCCGGAACUCCAGCUUACUGACUACAGAUCUUGGAACUUUUCAGCUUCCACAACCAUCUUCUUUGGACCUUUUAAGUUGCAUUAUCCCAUAAAAUGUGGUGGAUUCAAUGUUGUAUGGCCUGUAAAACUAAGUAAUGAAGGCUGAUAUGUACCCACCUGGCUCUGUCUUGGGAUCACACAACUUGGGAGCCAAAACAGGUGAGGAUGGGGAGGUGUCAAACAAGACCUAACCUCUCAACAAUCAGCUGGACACUGUUGUGUAAGAAUGUGAAGCUUGGCACUGCUGCAGCCAUCUUGUUCCAGGAAGGGUAAAACCUGAGGUUAGAAGCCAACAUCCUAAUGAUGGCAGAGAAGACAAAGAGAACCAGAGUCUAAAUGACAUUGUUGAGUUAGAUCACUACACUACCUCUAGUCUUCUUUUUAUGUGUGAUAAUAAAUCUCACUUAUACUUAAGCCAUUUGAAGUUGAGUCUAAUGUUCAUUUCAGACCAAAGCAGCUUAACUGACAUGUUCUCCGCUUUGUUACCCUAUCCAGUUGUUUUCAUGCAGGAAAUAAAUCUCAAAUUACCUCA
rnacentral:lncRNA from 1 species